GUGGCAGAGUGGUCAUGCAGCGGAUUGCAAAUCCGCGUACGUCGGUUCGAUUCCGGCCUCGGCCUCCA
rnacentral:tRNA from 1 species